rnacentral:rRNA from 1 species
UUCGGUAUUGACCUAGCGGCGGACGGGUGAGUAAUACUUAGGAAUCUGCCUAUUAAUGGGGGACAACAUCUCGAAAGGGAUGCUAAUACCGCAUACGCCCUACGGGGGAAAGCAGGGGAUCACUUGUGACCUUGCGUUAAUAGAUGAGCCUAAGUCGGAUUAGCUAGUUGGUGGGGUAAAGGCCUACCAAGGCGACGAUCUGUAGCGGGUCUGAGAGGAUGAUCCGCCACACUGGGACUGAGACACGGCCCAGACUCCUACGGGAGGCAGCAGUGGGGAAUAUUGGACAAUGGGGGGAACCCUGAUCCAGCCAUGCCGCGUGUGUGAAGAAGGCCUUAUGGUUGUAAAGCACUUUAAGCGAGGAGGAGGCUCUCUUGGUUAAUACCCAAGAUGAGUGGACGUUACUCGCAGAAUAAGCACCGGCUAACUCUGUGCCAGCAGCCGCGGUAAUACAGAGGGUGCGAGCGUUAAUCGGAUUUACUGGGCGUAAAGCGUGCGUAGGCGGCUUUUUAAGUCGGAUGUGAAAUCCCCGAGCUUAACUUGGGAAUUGCAUUCGAUACUGGGAAGCUAGAGUAUGGGAGAGGAUGGUAGAAUUCCAGGUGUAGCGGUGAAAUGCGUAGAGAUCUGGAGGAAUACCGAUGGCGAAGGCAGCCAUCUGGCCUAAUACUGACGCUGAGGUACGAAAGCAUGGGGAGCAAACAGGAUUAGAUACCCUGGUAGUCCAUGCCGUAAACGAUGUCUACUAGCCGUUGGGGCCUUUGAGGCUUUAGUGGCGCAGCUAACGCGAUAAGUAGACCGCCUGGGGAGUACGGUCGCAAGACUAAAACUCAAAUGAAUUGACGGGGGCCCGCACAAGCGGUGGAGCAUGUGGUUUAAUUCGAUGCAACGCGAAGAACCUUACCUGGUCUUGACAUAGUAAGAACUUUCCAGAGAUGGAUUGGUGCCUUCGGGAACUUACAUACAGGUGCUGCAUGGCUGUCGUCAGCUCGUGUCGUGAGAUGUUGGGUUAAGUCCCGCAACGAGCGCAACCCUUUUCCUUAUUUGCCAGCACUUCGGGUGGGAACUUUAAGGAUACUGCCAGUGACAAACUGGAGGAAGGCGGGGACGACGUCAAGUCAUCAUGGCCCUUACGACCAGGGCUACACACGUGCUACAAUGGUCGGUACAAAGGGUUGCUACCUAGCGAUAGGAUGCUAUCUCAAAAAGCCGAUCGUAUCCGGAUUGGAUCUCAA